AUAUCAUUUGAUAUUUUCUGUUUUCAUGCUAGAGAUGUUUAAGAUUAUUGAAAUCCAUACUUGUUUCAUCUUGCCAACUAUAAUUCAUUUCCACUAUUUUCCAAUUACAUGACUGUCCACAUCUGCAGAUAGUGGGACCUAAUUGUGCAUAACCUACUAAAAGCAACUUACAAUUACAAAAUUAUACCCUUUUUUGGAGUUUUGAAAUGGAAUGGAUUGAGUUCUGAAAUAGGGGGAAAUUGUGUCUGAACCAGCAAAAUUUGAGUUAGAGAAAAAUUAGCUAGUUAUUAAUUGGAUUGGAAUGCCAUAGAUUAAACUUUCAUUCAAAAUGCUUCUGAAUGCGUGGCUCGUGGCUGCUACAAAUUUGGUUUCCAUUUCCCCCGGAUUGGAGUGGGAACUCUCAAGUUCACAGCAAUAUAGUUGCUAAGUUAUGUACUGUUCAUGCAGCUCUAUCUUGGAGGGAAAAGUAACACACCUUUGCAGUGAUAAAAGUCUCACUAGUUUAAGUUGGUAUGCCAAUAAGUCUUUUGCUUCUUAGAUGACAAGUUUAUAUUUGUGUUUGCUAUCAAUUGUUUUAAUUUGUGAAACUCUAUUUCAUGAUAUAUAAAUGAAUUUCCUUAGGCUUAUGCAUUUUCAUAUUUUCUCUUCAACACAGCGACGGGAUGCAAGUGAAAGUG
rnacentral:misc_RNA from 1 species